GGCACUAUAGCCAAGUGGUUAAGGCGACAGAUUAGAAUCUUUGCAUAAAUCUGGAAUCUAUCUGUUACUCUCUGAGUGCGCAGGUUCAAAUCCUGCUGGUGUCG